GAUGAACGCUAGCGGCAGGCUUAAUACAUGCAAGUCGUGGGGCAGCAGGACUGUAGCAAUACAGUUGCUGGCGACCGGCAAACGGGUGCGGAACACGUACGCAAUCUACCCAGAACUGGUGAAUAGCCCUCCGAAAGGAGGAUUAAUACACCGUAAUAUUAUAAAGUGGCAUCACUUAAUAAUUAAAGCUCCGGCGGUUUUGGAUGAGCGUGCGGCCCAUUAGGUAGUUGGUUGAGGUAAUGGCACACCAAGCCUGCGAUGGGUAACUGGUGGGAGAGCACGACCAGUCACACGGGCACUGGGACACGGGCCCGACUCCUACGGGAGGCAGCAGUAAGGAAUAUUGGUCAAUGGACGCAAGUCUGAACCAGCCAUGCCGCGUGGGGGAUGAAGGCCCUCUGGGUUGUAAACUUCUUUUAUGGGGGACGAAAUCACUUAUUCUUAAGUGUCUGACGGUACCCCAGGAAUAAGCACCGGCUAACUCCGUGCCAGCCGCCGCCGUAA
rnacentral:rRNA from 1 species